AUUAUGAGAAAUUUUAAGUAAACAAAACAGUUGAGCCUUCCCAGCCUGAUAAUCAGUAGCAAUGUGUCAGUACCAAUGCAUCUGUGAUUUGUGCCACAUUACUGGGCUAAAUUUGAAGAGGAAAGCUCGGUCAAACAUUCUUCCAGCUUAAUUGUCAUCUUGGAUAGGCUGAAUGGGAGGUAUUUUCAAGGUGCAUGGUUUGUUGCUAUGUGUGUUUUAAGUAGAUCUGCCACCUCUAGCUUGACUUUAGGUUACCAUAAAGCUGCAGAGGUCACUUUUCUGAUUUGUCAGGGCCGAACACCUGAAGCAUAUAUUUCAGUUUUCAUAACAGGACCUCUGAUCUUUGUCCUGUUAUAUUGACUGGUUUCAUAGGAGAAUAUAUUUUUGGAUUGAGUUUUAAUUCUUCAGUAGCAGCUGAAUAAUAAAAUAACGUUGUUACAUUUAUGAUUCAGCUUAAUGAAUGAUUACAUUAUUAGUAUUCCUGCCUGUGUUUUUUGUUUAAACAUAUAACGUCUUUCAAGAAUAGUGUACAUAUCUGUCUGGGCACUGUGGUGCAUGCUUAUAAUCCCAACAUUUUGGGAGGCCAGGGUGGGUGGAUUGCUUGAGGCCAGGAGUUCAAGACCAGCCUGGGCAACACGGUGAGACCUUGUCUCUACAAAUAAUUUUUUAAAAAUCAGCUGGGCAUGGUGGCAUGCACUUGUAAUCCUAGCUACUUAGGAGGUGGAGGCAGGAGGAUCACUCUAGCCCAGGAGUUAGAAGGUGCAGUGAGCUAUGAUUGCACAGCUGCAUCCAGCCUGGGUAACAGAACAAGACCCUGUCUAAAGAAAAAAAAGGAACAUACAUACAUUAUUUUAGCUUCUUUUAUAAUUCCCUAGCUUAGGAACUGGUCAGUAAAUAUAGAGUGAAUAACAGACUUAUACUGGAAUUAUCUUUACUAGUUUGUUAUACUUCCUCUUCAAGAUGUUUUGUCAAAGAAAUUCUGAAUUUAUUUUGUUUCUCUACAUGUUAGCUAGACUCAUGUAUCAUUUAGCAACAACAAAAACUUAUUUCAUGUGAUAGACUGACUGUUUACUUCUAGCUAUUGUUGGCUAUGUCAGAGAGACCAGAUACCUUAGCCAAGAAUGGUUAUCAGGACUGGAGAAACUGAAUAUGUGUGUGAGUAAUCUUUUGAGAACAGGCUGGUAUUAUUUUUUUGUAAAGGGAUCAUAUUACAUUUCUAGAAUUUCAGAACUUAUUUUUAUAGUUGAAGCUAAGUCCCUCCUCUGAUUGCUAGAAAUAAAGCUAUGUAAUAUUUUUAUUUCAGCAUUUGGAUUUAUUAUAAUAUGUAUUACGAUUUUUAAGAUUUUGUUUUUCAUUCUUUUAGACAGGUGCUCUAGUUCACAGCUAUAGGGGAACAGGUGGAAUAUUUGAAGUUUGCUGGAAUGCAGCAGGAGACAAAGUUGGAGCCAGUGCAUCAGAUGGUUCAGUUUGUGUAUUAGACCUUCGGAAAUAGCGCUACUAGUUGGAAGCCAUGGACCGACUAUGAAUGUGUACAUAGCCAAAAUGACUGUCCCUGACCCAUGUACUGCUAUAGUCCCACUUGAACCAUGGCCAGUCCACUACAGCCAAAUCUAAAAGAAAUAUAUACAUACAGUGUAUAUAAACAAAAUUGCACCCUGAAGAUGACAGAGUUUUGUCACAGCUUGUGAAUUCUGUUCACCAAGUGCUGGAAUCUAAUCUGCUGUGCCCCUAAAAUAGCAUUUAGAAGUUUUGGAUAUGAAAAACAGAAGAGAGAAAAAUAUACAUUAUAAAAGCAGAACAUACAUGUACCAGUUUUUGGAUACUAAAUGACAGCCUUGUUUCUCCCCUUUGAAUCAGCAGACACCAUGGAUUAUAUUCUUUUUUUCCCUUCAGUAGUGAGCAGUUUGUAUGUACAGAGAAAAUGGACUUACAAAAACUUGCAGCAGUAGUUUGUUCUUGCUUUUAAAAUUUCGUUUUUGGUUUAGAUUAUGGAUGCAUGAAGUAAGGGAGUGAAUCAGUUUCUUGUUUAUAUUUUUUUCACCUUUUAAACAAAAAAUUCUUUAAAAUAUUUUAAUGCAUUCUUUUGAAGAGGUAGAUGUUUGGUACAUUUUAUGGCUCCCAGAGCAUAUAUUCAGUUGGUGCAUGUUAUGGAAGGGGGAAUUGGAAAUUAAAUGAAAACCUAUGACUUUGGUCAUGUCAAUCUGUAAGACACAUCAGUAAAAGGGUAUUAUGCUCUGUUGGUUUUGUUUUUUUUGUUUUGCUUUUUUUUUUUUUUUUUCUUUUUUGUUUUUUGGUGAUGUGGCUUAAAUGCAAUAGUUUCUUUUUUGGGACAUAUUUCUGCCAAUUAAAGACUAGAAGGGCACAAAUUUUUUUUUAAUUACCAUAGAGAAGAUACAUUAAAAAAAAAAAUCUUCUGAUGUUUUGUAGCCAUAACUAAAUUAUGGUAAAAAUGUGCACUAUUGUGAAAAGGAGCAACGUAGUUUUGGGUUUUUUGUUGUUUGUUUGUUUUGCUUUGUUUUUUAAGAGAUUAAAAUGUUUCUGGAUAAGGAUUAGCUUCUCGAAGUGUCCAUCAUUCUGUGUAGAAGCUUAAAUAUGUAAUGUAACCAAACUCCAGUAUUAAAAAUCUCUCAUGUUGUUUUCUUUAUACAAAGCAAGAUAACGGCAUAUAACACUGCCAUUACAUGGCAAAAUGUUUGCUACCUUAGUUUAAAAAACAAUCUCAAACAAAAGACUUGCUUCAAGGUGUUUUUAAAUAGCAGUGAUUCAGAAUUUUUUUUAUGAAAGUAUAAUUGCACUAACCUUCUUCCUGCUGCUCUGAUUCUGCAUUUGUGGUACUUGUGACUACGUUUUUUCAAAUAUAGAUAGAUUUAAGCUGCUAAUUUUUUUUUUCAGUAAUCACUACUAUAUCAUGUCUUUUACUCUGUUUAUAAUAUCAAGUAUUUUCUUAAAGAUAUAGAUAUUAAACCUUGUGCUCAUGCAACUUAGAGUAACAUAUACAGACAAAUGAUUGCAUGAGGCCAUGUUUAUAUGUGUGACUAAUAAGGCUUGUCAUGAUUAACAUAAUCCAGGUAUGUCAUUUCUGAAGAGAAUAGUCAUCAAAUUUAUAUCUCGAAGAUUUUAAUUAAGGAAUUGCUUAUUGUUGAGCUUAGCAAAUUAAUAACACUAUUUCUGUCACUAAUUAUUUUGAGGCCUUUUAGUACUAAAAUUUUAACCUGUGUUCUAAGUAGAAACUGAUUUAACCCAAGUAAUGCAGCUUUGAUUUUCAGCAUUCGUUGCUUUGCUAUUUUUACAAAACAGCAUUGAUUGAAGCAAGUCUUGGUUUUACUAAGGUAGGGUAGCAUUUGCUAUUGGUAAAGAGAAUAAAUACACUUAAUUUCACAAUACAUUGUUAUAUGUACCCCAGUUGUUGUUAGUGGGGACUAUGAUACUGUAAUAAUAUUUUUAAAAAUUUACAUCAAGAGAGGCAGUCAUUCACGAUGGUUUUGUGCCAGCUCUUUUUAGGGUUUUGGAUCACAUUAGAGAUAUUUAGAACAUAUUACCCUGUGACUUACGUAGGAAACCUAAUAUGCUGAGUAUCUGGCACUUGAAUUCCUGCUUUUAUUGCUGGAGGUCCACAUCUGUGGUUGACCUCUGUUAUUGUUUAAAAAAAAUAAAUAAAAAUUAAAAAAAUCUGUGCAAUAAUCUUAAAAUGUGCUCCCAGGAAUAGACACAAAUGUUUUGAGUAUCUUUUAAGCUGCAUUUUCCUUUAGUGAUGCAUUUGUCAAUUGCACUGAAUUUAAAUCUGAAAGUCAGAGGUGAUUAUUGAUAGUACUUUUGUAUUUUGAUAUGGACAGUUUAUUCAUUUGCAUACAGUUAUUGACUUUUUCCCAGCUGAUUAAAAGAUAGUCAAGAAAUUCUGCAAUAUAGCUGCUAAAAUAGACAGCUACAUUUUUAUGAUAUUGUCAUCUUUUCUGUUUUUUUUCUUUUUUUUUCUUUAGCUAUUUUACUUAAGCAUAAUAGCCACAAUAGGACAUAUAAAAGAUUAUAAAUACAGAGCUUUAUUAUCCUGACGUCUUGGGUCUUUUAAGUAUAUACUUUUCUGAAAGGUAUCCAUUUUGUAGGCUUGGGUUCUUCAUGAGCAUACGAUUGUUUAUUUUUGCUGCUGUUCUCAACAUCAUCAUUGCCUGCUGAUGUGCCACGAUGCUGCUCCAAUAGACAGAAAUAAGAUUGUCUCUAAUUUGAGCAGUAACAUGAUUGCAAGAGACCAAGUUUCACAGCUUGUAAAGUUCUGUAUUUGGGAUUCUUGCUUAUUUUUCCGCCUGUGUUUUUCUGAGAACUUAUUCCUGAUGAUCAAUUGAAUCCAGUAGUUUUUCUAUGCUAUUUGUUGUUGUAUAAGCUACUGUAAGAAACUUAUCAUAAGGAAAAAUAGAAAGGAAAACUUGAAUCAAUACUCAUUGAUUAAAAUGGAAUAAAGAAAGAGCAGCUGCCACUUUUAAACAACAUAAAGGAAUAUCUUGUUUUGUCUCCGUGUAGGAAAUCCCAUAAGUUCUUAUAUUCGUUCCAAUUCCCAUUUCCUGCCAUUGACCAGAUAACAUCAUUGACUUUCAAAUGACUUUUAGAAGUGGUAACUCUUAAUUUCCUAAUAGAUACUAGAUUGUAUUGAAUUCUGUUUUAAUUAUUCUCUAGGUAAGUAUGUUUUAGGAUUAAAUACCUUUUACAGAUACUGAAAGUGCCUCCUUUUGUGGUGUAAAAAAACAAAUUAUGGUGCAAAAAGUAAUCACUAGAUUGAAUUACAUGAAGGUUUUUUGCUUUUUGACAUACGAAAAUGUCAAGAGAAAGGCCAAAGAUUUGUACUUUUUCACUUACAAAGCACUCCUUUUUCCCUUAAACUUCUUUCUGUCAAAUUAGAUUUAAUGAGAGAGUACUAUUUUUAAGGAGCUAUCUGUUUAUGUAGAAUGAUUUUGUUAAGAGUAAUGUAAACUAUUAUUGAGUAGAGGCCUAAAGAGGACUGUGCAUUUUUGCUAUUUAAAGGAAUCACAAAUGAUCAUACUUAAGUGAGCAAAAAUGACAAGUUUUACUAGCUAAGUAGAGAAAUAAAUCUCAAAUGCAGCGCUACAAUUUUCAUUAUCUUAAGCACAAUGUACAUUUCUACAGAACCUGUGAUUAUUCUCGCAUGAUAAGGAUGGUACUUGCAUAUGGUGAAUUACUACUGUUGACAGUUUCCGCAGAAAUCCUAUUUCAGUGGACCAACAUUGUGGCAUGGCAGCAAAUGCCAACAUUUUGUGGAAUAGCAGCAAAUCUACAAGAGACCCUGGUUGGUUUUUCGUUUUGUUUUCUUUGUUUUUUCCCCCUUCUCCUGAAUCAGCAGGGAUGGAAGGAGGGUAGGGAAGUUACGAAUUACUCCUUCCAGUAGUAGCUCUGAAGUGUCACAUUUAAUAUCAGUUUUUUUUAAACAUGAUUCUAGUUAAAUGUAGAAGAGAGAAAAAAGAGGAAGUGUUCACUUUUUUAAUACACUGAUUUAGAAAUUUGAUGUCUUAUAUCAGUAGUUCUGAGGUAUUGAUAGCUUUCUUUAUUUCUGCCUUUACGUUGACAGUGUUGAAGCAGGGUGAAUAACUAGGGCAUAUAUAUUUUUUUUUUUUUGUAAGCUGUUUCAUGAUGUUUUCUUUGGAAUUUCCGGAUAAGUUCAGGAAAACAUUCUGCAUGUUGUAUCUAGUCUGAUGUACUUAUCCAUCUCAUUACAAACAAAAACACACAGACUGCAUUUGUAGCUCUGUAAUCCUUGAAUACGGAAGUAAAUUUUCUUCUUUCCUGACUUUGACAUUGUAGCUAUACUGUUUCCAUUUUUAUUUUUACAAAUCCUUUGGGUCUAAUUCUGUGAGCCUACCUAUAGCACUGGAUUAAAAUGUCUGCAUCAUUUCUUUAGUUAUCCAGUUAACUUUAAAACUGUUGUAAAAGUGUAAACCAGCCCAUGACAGGUUUUUGUACAUGUUAAAGAACUUCAUUGUUCAGUUUUCAUGAUUAUUGUAUAAGGAAGACUGAUAUAGAUGUUCUAUGCUGUCCUGGACCAUGUUAAUUACACUUACGAUGUAUUUUGGUUCCACAUCACAAUGAUUUGUCCCCAGUGACCCUUUUAUCCUUUCUAGGCACAUUUUUUUUUGUUGUUGUUGUUGCAGUUCCCCUUUGCAUUGUAUUGCUUUGACAACUGUAAUUUGAAUCAGAUCUGAAAGAGGUCCAGAAUAAAAUAUAUUUUGAUAUUA
rnacentral:sRNA from 1 species